UAGGGUUUACACCAUAGCCAUAGCUUAUGUCUGGGCUGCAGAUCUCGAUUUCACUGUCUUUGUGAAGCCGUCCACCAAGUGGCCGGAUUUAUCACGACAAACGCAGCUGACGGCUCCCUCCGUGGAACCUUCGAGGUAGGAUCCAUCUAUAUUAAUUUUGAGAACACUCGGCUUUGGUCCCCUCCAGAUUUGAGGCCGAGUUUACUAGGUGUUGUGGGUCAAGCUUCUGCCUUUUGAAAAUGAAGUUAUUUCUUGCUUUCCAAAUGUUCUAAAGAAUUGU